rnacentral:rRNA from 1 species
CAGGAUGAACGCUAGCGGCAGGCUUAACACAUGCAAGUCGAGGGGCAGCGCGAGUAGCAAUACUUGGCGGCGACCGGCGCAAGGGUGCGUAACGCGUGAGCAACAUGCCCGUAUCAGGGGGAUAAUCCAGGGAAACUUGGUCUAAUACCCCAUAGUAAUUUUGUAAGGCAUCUUAUAAGAUUUAAAGCUUUGGUGGAUACGGAUUGGCUCGCGUGACAUUAGCUGGAUGGUAAGGUAACGGCUUACCAUGGCUAUGAUGUCUAGGGGUUCUGAGAGGAAGGUCCCCCACACUGGAACUGAGACACGGUCCAGACUCCUACGGGAGGCAGCAGUGAGGAAUAUCGGACAAUGGAUGGAAAUCUGAUCCAGCCAUGCCGCGUGAAGGAAGAAGGUCCUAUGGAUUGUAAACUUCUUUUGUAUGGGAGCAAUAAGGCCUACGAGUAGGUUGAUGAGAGUACCAUACGAAUAAGCACCGGCUAACUCCGUGCCAGCCGCCGC